ACUCAGGAAUGGACAGUAUCCCAGUCCUCCAGAGCUCAGACCUUUGCUAUGAACAUCACAAAUAUCUAGAAGGAAGAUGCUAUGCAGGCCAAGACACACUCCUGCUCUGUAUGGGCAGACUUCGGGCAGAAACUACAGUGCAUCGGGAAUCCCGUGUGGGUGUCAGGAGAACAGGUACCGGGCCUGGGUCACUGCAAAGGAGGGUUCCCAAAGCAUUCACUCCUGACCCUGAGGGAGGUGGGUGCACUCACUUCAGGUCUCACAUUCACCACAUUCAAAACUGUCCUGGGCCACAUGCAGCCCGCGAGCCGCAGGUUGGACAAGCUUGUAUCUAGAACGUGUGCACCACAAGGCUAGAAAUUUUUCUAUUUUUACUUUAAUAAUGCUUUCUAAAUGCAAAAACAGUCAUAUCCCUAGGAGACAACAAACGUCAGCUGAAGGAAUGAUCACUGUAGAGAACCCCUCUAUUCUAGAGGCAAUAUCUUUGUUAAUGUAGCCUCAGACAAAUACUUUUUUUUUCAUGGCAACUACAGAACAACAUCAUCUCACACUGACAUCAGUGCCAGCAGAGCUUUUCUCACCAGGGCUGCUGGUGUGUCCUCCCUCCCUCCCUCUUCCCACACCAACCCUCCUGCACACUGCAGCACACAAACAUAUUUUUCUCUUUAGGAAAGAUAACCCUAGACUUAUGGAUCCAAUUGUCCAACCACGUGUGAAUCUAAAUUAGACUCUGCUUUAUAAAUCUAUGGAUUUCUAUUGGAGCCAGCACUAGGAUUACUACAACUCAGGGCAGGAAGAAGAGUGGAAGUGCAGAGGAGGGGCUCCAACAGAAAUUUACCUAUGAUGAGAAACUAUGAGACCCCUCCUCUCUGUAAAUUUCAGAAUCUGGUUCCUUUAAAAAGAUUGGAGAAAAGACGGAAAAUACAAUCCAGGAAGGAGCCCUGGGAGGAGGGCAAGAGCUUGAAAGUUCUGAAAAUUUGUCUUUUGAUACCACAAGGACCCUUGUAUGCGGGGACCACCCUAGGUGACAUCCAAGUCCCUGUGAUCACAGGUCAUGGUGGGACAAGGUUCUACUGAAGGGCCAAGGACAAUGGAGCAGCAAAGAUGACUCAGCUGAGCAGUGACCACAUAAAGCGCACGGUGGCCUGAGCACCCACUGGGCACAGCCCCAUCUACUGUCCUCCCCUGCAACAAAUCAGCACAAGAAACACGUCGACUCUGGAAGGUUCUCAUGUCUCCCAUUAAUUUUAUCUCUCAAAUUUUAGGAAUCUUCUCCUUUAAUUAACUCAUCAACCUCUCACGGCAAGAAUUUGAAAAUGUAAAUUUAUAUUCAGAUUCUAAUUUUAAUAGGGAAGUAAGAAGUUACAGCUCAGUGCAUAUAAAGUUGAGACAGAGAUGGAGACAUCUCAGCCCCACCUCUCUGGAGAAGG
rnacentral:lncRNA from 1 species